rnacentral:snRNA from 1 species
ACUUCUUAAGAAUCAUCAUUGU